rfam:Coniochaeta ligniaria NRRL 30616 unplaced genomic scaffold CONLIGscaffold_5, whole genome shotgun sequence.
UCCCGAUUGGUGUAGUGGUUAACAUUUCGGAUUCUCAAGCAGAUGUCUGUCCUGAUGCCUCCGGAGCCGAGGGUUCGAUUCCCUCAUCGGGAA